rnacentral:tRNA from 1 species
GCGUGAAUGGGGUAGUGGUAACCUUGGUCGUUGCCAAAUCAGCUAUCUCGAUCUCGACCAGCCAGGGGUUCGAUUCCCCUUUCACGCA